rnacentral:rRNA from 1 species
AGCAGCCGCGGUAAUUCCAGCUCCAAUAGCGUAUAUUAAAGUUGUUGCAGUUAAAAAGCUCGUAGUUGAAUUUCGGGAUUCAUCCGUUGGUCGGGCUUCACGGUCCGUACUGGUGUGAUGGGUUCCUACCUUCUGAAUAACCGGCAUGCCAUUAAUUUGGUGCGCCGGGGAAGCAGAACUAUUACCUUGAAAAAAUUAGAGUGCUUAAAGCAGGCAAGUGCCUGAAUAGGUUAGCAUGGAAUAAUAAAAUAGGACGGCAUGGUUCUAUUUUGUUGGUUUCUAGGAUCACCGUAAUGAUUAAUAGGGAUAGUUGGGGGCAUUAGUAUUCAAUUGUCAGAGGUGAAAUUCUUGGAUUUAUUGAAGACUAACUUCUGCGAAAGCAUUUGCCAAGGAUGUUUUCAUUAAUCAAGAACGAAAGUUAGGGGAUCGAAGACGAU